AUUGAACGCUGGCGGCAUGCUUUACACAUGCAAGUCGGACGAGUGGCGAACGGGUGAGUAACAUAUCGGAACGUACCGAGUAAUGGGGGAUAACUAAUCGAAAGAUUAGCUAAUACCGCAUAUUAUUCGAGCGGCCGAUAUCUGAUUAGCUGGUUGGUGGGGUAAAGGCCUACCAAGGCGCCGAUCAGUCGCGGGUCUGAGAGGAUGAUCCGCCACGCUGGGACAUAGAGAGGGCCCAUGCUCCUACGGGAGGCAGCAGUGGGGAAUUUUGGACAAUAGGCGCAGGCCUGAUCCAGACAUGCAGCGUGUCUGAAGAGGGCCUUCAGGUUGUAAAGGACUUUUGUCAGGGAAGCGGUACCUGAAGAAUAAGCACCGGCUAACUACGUGCCAGCAGCCGCGGUAAUAC
rnacentral:rRNA from 1 species